GACGAACGCUGGCGGCAUGCCUAAUACAUGCAAGUCGAGCGGAGUUGAUAGGAAGCUUGCUUCCUUGAUACUUAGCGGCGGACGGGUGAGUAACACGUAGGCAACCUGCCCUCAAGUUUGGGACAACUACCGGAAACGGUAGCUAAUACCGAAUAAUUGUUUUCUUCGCCUGAAGGAAACUGGAAAGACGGAGCAAUCUGUCACUUGGGGAUGGGCCUGCGGCGCAUUAGCUAGUUGGUGAGGUAACGGCUCACCAAGGCGACGAUGCGUAGCCGACCUGAGAGGGUGAUCGGCCACACUGGGACUGAGACACGGCCCAGACUCCUACGGGAGGCAGCAGUAGGGAAUCUUCCGCAAUGGGCGAAAGCCUGACGGAGCAAUGCCGCGUGAGUGAUGAAGGUUUUCGGAUCGUAAAGCUCUGUUGCCAGGGAAGAACGCUUGGGAGAGUAACUGCU
rnacentral:rRNA from 1 species